rnacentral:rRNA from 1 species
AGUGGCGGACGGGUGAGUAACGCGUGAGAAUCUGCCUUGGGGUCGGGGACAACCACUGGAAACGGUGGCUAAUACCGGAUAAGCCGAUUGGUGAAAGAUUUAUUGCCCGAAGAGGAGCUCGCGUCUGAUUAGCUAGUUGGUGAGGUAAGAGCUCACCAAGGCAGCGAUCAGUAGCUGGUCUGAGAGGACGAUCGCCACACUGGGACUGAGACACGGCCCAGACUCCUACGGGAGGCAGCAGUGGGGAAUUUUCCGCAAUGGGCGAAAGCCUGACGGAGCAAGACCGCGUGAGGGAGGAAGGCUCUUGGGUUGUAAACCUCUUUUCUCAGGGAAGAAGCUCUGACGGUACCUGAGGAAUCAGCCUCGGCUAACUCCGUGCCAGCAGCCGCGGUAAUACGGAGGAGGCAAGCGUUAUCCGGAAUUAUUGGGCGUAAAGCGUCCGCAGGUGGCGAUUCAAGUCUGCUGUCAAAGCACGGGGCUUAACUCCGUAAAGGCAGUGGAAACUGAAUAGCUAGAGUGCCGUAGGGGUAGAGGGAAUUCCCGGUGUAGCGGUGAAAUGCGUAGAGAUCGGGAAGAACAUCGGUGGCGAAAGCGCUCUACUGGACGGCAACUGACACUCAGGGACGAAAGCUAGGGGAGCGAAUGGGAUUAGAUACCCC